GAAAGCGGGCGGGUAAUUCAUGCCUAUAGCUCCCAAUUUCAGGUUGGGCGGCCGGCCGGCGUGCCACCGGCAACCCUUAGGGAUUAAUGAUUGGUGCGUGAGACCACGAUUCACAAACUGAGCUUCCAUUUUGGGGGAAUUUCCAGACUCAUCUUCACCAAGCUAGCAGAAGACUGAGAAGAGUCAUAAGCACGACCUGCCUAUCUUCGAGGCGGUCAAACUUCAGAGGCACGUGAAGAAACGUUGAAAGAUUGAAAAUGUUCUCAAUCUCAGCUAUCAACGAUACAGACUCAAAGGGUCACUGGGAACCUUUAGCUCCCACAAAAGAAGCCCAGGAAUCUCACCUUUCACAAAUUUAUCAUGAAGGACUCCUUAAGUUGGAAACCAAAGAAUAUGAGAAUGCUCGUGAACUUUUGGAGGCUGUCCUAAAAGACCCUUUAUUAUCAAGUGCACAGGUGGAGAAUAAUGCUAGUGAUGGUCAUCUCUUACAGCUCAGAUUUUUAGCGCUGAAGAAUCUUGCCACUGUUUUCCUUCAACAAGAUCCUAUUCAUUAUGAGAAAGCUCUGCGCUGCUAUCUUCAAGCUGUGGAGAUUGAUACCAAAGAUUCUGUUGUCUGGAACCAGCUAGGAACACUUUCAUGUUCAAUGGGUUCAUUGAGUAUUUCACGUUGGGCAUUCGAGCAAGGGCUAUUUUGCAGCCCCAAUAAUUGGAAUUGUAUGGAGAAACUAUUGGAAGUUCUAAUUGCUAUUGGUGAUGAGGUUGCCUGUCUCUCUGUUGCACAGUUGAUUUUGAGGCAUUGGCCCUCGCAUUCUCGUGCUUUGCAUGUCAAAAGAACCAUUGAAGAGGCAGAACCAAUACCAUUUGCUCCCAGAGGCAUAGAUAAGCUGGAGGCAAAACAUGUCCGGCUUAAAUUCCUUGACAAGAGAAAGGCAACAGAUGAGAAUAUUGAUGAAGGCGUUGUGUUUAAAAAGUUGAAUCAUGUUAUAGAACUGCACAUUGCAGAAGCUUCUUGGACAGCUCUUGCUGAUGCACUUCUUGAAAUAUUAUUGCCAUUAAGCAGAUGUAAUUCUGAGUCAGGUGCUGAAGAACUAUGCAGGUCUGGGGAUGUCAGACUGGUAAUACACUUACCUCCUGGUUCAGAAAAAGUUAUGGAGUCUAUAGAGAGAAAAGGACUCACUAACACCAAAAUUGGUGAAAAUAUGUUUAUUGGUGAUUGUAACUCUGAGAAGGCUAGAAUUGUCAAAGAAAAAGAAGCUAGUUUUACUGAAGAACAACCUCAGGAGAGACGUAGUACUCGUCUUGAGAGGCUUAGGAAUCGUAAACCAGGGAAAGAGGAAAUGGAGUUUGCUACCAGUAAGGAUCUUGCUAAAGUAGUAAUUCAGUGUCUGCAACCUUUUAUUGUUGGUGGAUCUGAUAUUAAAGAUUCAGAUGAUGCCACUACUAAUUGUUCUUUUCACAGUCCUGAAGUUCUUGCUAAUCCAUCAGAUUCUGAAUCUAUUGAUGUUGCAAGAUUUCUCACAACAACUUCAAAAAACCAUGGUGCUUACCAUGUGGCCCACUUGCUUUUAGAAGAGGUUGCAUGUAGAGGUUCUUCACAUCAGGAUGCUUUUGUCAAGUUCCUGGAGUUGGAAAAGCUGACCAGGCAUUGGGGGCAGGAUAGGAGUCCAGAAUGUAGUCUUUUUCUUGCUGAGCUGUAUUAUGACUUCGGGUUUUGCUCUUCGGAUGUGUCCAUGUUGUCUGAGUUCAUGUCAGAGGCAUCAUAUCAUCUUUGUAAAAUCAUUGAGUUUGUAGCCUUGGAUUAUCCUUUCCACUUGAGUGGCAUGUCAGGGAACAAAAAUAGCUUAUCCACUGAUAGUGCUCAAACUACUGCCCAAAUUGUAACUGGCAACUCUGCUUGUCAUGGCUCUCUUUUGGACAAUUCCUUGUUUAAUAAUAAACGCUCCUUCUGGGUUCGUUUUUUCUGGUUAAGUGGGCGAUUAUCCAGUUUGGAUGGCAACAGGGCAAAGGCUCACAAUGAGUUUUGUGUUUCAUUGUCACUUUUGACAAAUAACAACAAUAUGAGUGAUCCCCUUGGCUCUGUUGGCCGUCCGUACUGCAGGAUAGUUCAAGAGUUAACAACAGAUAGGGUUCUCCAUGAAAUUAAUUUACUAGAGAUUGAUUUUUUGCUUUUGAGGACUUUAGGUGAGAUGAUGGAGAAAGAUAUGUAUUCAGAGUGCAUAGACUUGCUUGCGCCACUUCUAUUGUCAAAAAAAGAUGUUCACCUGGAUUUAUUACCUGUAGCCAAUAAGGAAGGUGAAGGGGUUACAUCUAUUGAACUAUCGGCAUUGGAUGUUUUAAUCAGAGCAUGUGAAAAGGUGAAGCCGAUGAACACGGAGGUGUAUUUGAAUUGUCGCUCUCGGAGGCUGCAGAUGCUUAUGGUAGCAGCUGGUAUGGAGGAAUACCUUUCUUCACGUAAGCCCUUUGACAAGAUGUCAUGGUCAAAAACAUUGAUUCAAUCUGAUUCAGAAUCAAGAGAAUAUCUAAGCAGAGACUGGAAUUACUUAGUGGCAGAGGAGGUGAAGGCAGUCUCACAAUGUGUGUCACAAGUGAAGAAUUCCAUUGAUCAAUGUGCAGAUUCUAAUGGAUUUACUUUUCCAAUUAGGAGCAUUGGUGAUAUUCAGUCUGUGCUGGUGACAGUCAUGUGCAACAUUGUGAGCAUAUUUCUCUCAAAGAAGUCUUCCAGUUUAGCAAUUCUGGAUUCAACCGAAAAAAGGCAAAGAUGCUGCUUUAUUGAUGCAGCCAUUGCCUUUUGCAAACUUCAGCACCUCAACCCAAAUGCACCUGUCAAAAGUCAAGUUGAAUUAAUUGUGGCAAUCCAUGACUUGCUUGCUGAGUAUGGGCUCUGCUGUGCGGGUGGAGAAGGUGAAGGGGAGGAGGGAACUUUUCUUAAAUUUGCAAUAAAGCAUCUACUGGCCUUGGAUAUGAAGCUAAAAUCCAACAUUAACUCAAAUAGAGGAUCGACUACAAUUCAAGGCGAAGAGCAGCUUGCUGAUAAUAUUCAUAAAAAAAAAUCUCUAAAUGAAUCGAAGAUGAAUGCACAAGAUGCAAAACUUGGUCAAACUGAAACAGAAAAAACCAUUGCUCUGAAGAAUAUUGCUCUUGAAGGAAUGAAUUUCAAGGGAAUUUCUUCUUAUGAAGGUCUAGAGGACGACAAGUCAGUAGUGGAAUGUGGAAAACAUGGUGGUGAUGGGCCUGAUGGCAAGUCUUGUGAAGGAGAAAAAGCAAGUGACCGACUUGUUGAAUGCAGCAAUGAACUUACUGAAGAUGAAAGAGAGGAACUUGAGCUGGGAAUUGAUAAUGCUUUGGAUCAGUGUUUUUUCUGCUUAUAUGGUUUAAAUCUUAGAUCUGAUUCAUCCUAUGAAGAUGAUCUGGCCAUACAUAAAAAUACUAGCCGUGGAGAUUAUCAAACAAAGGAACAAUGUGCUGAUGUUUUCCAGUAUAUACUGCCCUGUGCAAAGGCUUCAUCUAGAACUGGAUUGGUCAAACUCCGGAGAGUGUUAAGAGCUAUACGAAAGCACUUUCCACAGCCACCCGAAGAUGUUUUGGCUGGAAAUGUUAUAGAUAGGUUCUUAGAUGACCGUGAUCUGCCUGAAGAUAAACUCUCAGAGGCAGCUGGUUCUGAUGGGUUUGUUGAGUCAAUAAUGAAGAUAAUACUUCCUGAUGCUGGAAACAUAAAACAAUGCAGGAGGUCAUCUGUAGAAAGCUGUGAACCGUAUUUUGAGGUUUAUUGCAACUUGUAUUAUCUUUUAGCUCAGUCUGAGGAAAUGAGUGCUACUGAUAAAUGGCCUGGCUUUGUACUCACCAAGGAAGGGGAAGAAUUUGUUGAGCAAAAUGCAAACCUAUUCAAAUAUGAUUUAAUUUACAACCCUCUACGCUUUGAGAGUUGGCAGCGACUUGCAAAUAUUUAUGAUGAGGAGGUGGACUUAUUGCUAAAUGAUGGCAGUAAACACAUAAAUGUUGCAGGAUGGGGGAAAAAUGCUACUUUACCUCAGAGAGUUGAGACAAGUCGAAGGAGGAGUAGACGAUGUUUAUUGAUGAGUUUGGCUUUAGCAAAGACAACAGUUCAACAGUGUGAGAUGCAUGAGUUACUGGCGCUUGUAUACUACGAUAGCCUUCAAAAUGUGGCACCGUUUUAUGAUCAGCGGUCUGUCAUACCUACAAAGGAUGCAGCAUGGAUGACUGCUUGUAGGAAUUCGAUGAAACAUUUCAAGGAGGCCUUUGCACAGAAGCAAGAUUGGUCUCAUGCGUUUUAUUUGGGGAAACUAUGUGAAAAGCUUGGAUGCUCAUAUGAUUUAUCAUUCACAUAUUAUGAUAAAGCUAUUGCUCUGAAUCCUUCAGCUGUGGAUCCUAUCUACAGGAUGCAUGCUUCACGCUUGAAGUUACUUUGUACAUGCGGAAAACAGAAUGUUGAUGCUCUGAAGAUUGUUAGUGUAUAUUCUUUUAGUAAGUCAACAAAGGAGGCUGUCAUGAAUAUUCUUGGGGAAGUGGGUUGUAGAAGUCCAGAGGUGCUAGUUGAUAUUGAAGGCGGAGGCACUCAACUCAAUCCUACUGAGCAAAACCCUGUGGAAUCCCAUCAGUUAGUAGAGGUGUGGCAGAUGCUUUACAGAGAUUGCCUGUCCGCCCUUCAGAUCUGCGUGGAAGGGGAUCUCAAACAUUUUCAUAGGGCCCGAUAUAUGCUUGCUCAAGGGCUGUACAGAAGAGGUGAGAGAGGUGAUUUGGAGAGGGCAAAGGAUGAACUUUCUUUUUGCUUCAAAUCAUCUCGUUCUUCCUUUACAAUUAAUAUGUGGGAGAUUGAUGGUAUGGUCAAGAAAGGAAGGCGCAAAACACUAGGUCUUUCUGGCAACAAAAAAGCUCUUGAGGUCAACUUACCAGAAAGUUCCCGAAAAUUUAUCACUUGCAUUCGGAAGUAUAUGUUGUUCUAUUUGAAACUUCUGGAGGAGACUGGAGACAUUUAUACUCUUGACCGGGGUUUUACAUCCCUUCGGACAGAUAAGAGGUUCUCGUUAUGUCUUGAAGAUCUUGUUCCUGUAGCUGUUGGGAGGUACAUCAAGGCCUUAAUUUCAUCCAUAUGCCAAGCUGAGAGUGUUGGAUCUGGUUCAGCAAGCAGUUCACUUGAGCAUCUUCAGGAGAAGAUGUUUGCUUCGUUCUUGGAACAGGGGAAUUUAUGGUUUGAUGUAUGCAAUUUGCCUGAGAUCAAGAGCCCAGAGUUAUCAGAGAGCAGUUUAUAUGGCUACCUCUACCAGUAUAUCCAGUCACUGGAGAAAAAUCUCAGGCUGGAAACCCUUGAAGGAAUAUUUGAGAAAAUGAGGAAACGUUUUAAGAAUCCAAAAUUAUCAAAUAGUAACUGUGCCAAAGUUUGCAAGCAGGCUUCUUUGGUUUGGUGUCGGUCCAUUAUAGUUAGCUUGGCGUUGAUCACUCCAUUACAUACUGGUCCCUCAAGUGAGAUGCAGGUUCUUAAUGUGUCAGAUGGUGGCUUAGAAAAUAGCCUGCUUCUUUGUGUUGAUCUGCAGACAAAUGAAUUGUGGAGUUCAUUGCUUGAUGAUUCAACCCACCUGAAACAUAUGGAAACAAAAUGGAGCCCAUUGUUGUCUCAACUCAAAAAUGUUCUGGUGAAGAGGGCUUCAGAGGAAAAUUUGGAGACCGCCAACUCUCUGCUUAGAUGUUCCUACAAUUUCUAUCGGGAAAGCUCAUGUGUGUUGCUGCCAUCAGGAGUUGACCUUUAUCUAGUGCCAUCUCGGUUAGCAACAGAAGCACAAAUUCGACCAGGCAUGGAUGGGGUGGAAAUUUUAGAUCUGAGUAUCCCACGAAAGCUUCUCAUGUGGGCGUACACUCUGUUGCAGGGCCGUUGCUCAAACAUCUCUGUUGUCAUAAAGCAUUGCGAAGAAAACAUAAAGUCAAAGAUGAAAAAGGGAUCCGCGCCCUUGAGUACAAGUGCAUCCACUGCAACUAUUGCUCAUACAGGUGGUGGGAAAGAUGGAGCUGGCCUUGGCCAUGGAGGAGGCGUGGAAGCGGAAGUUCCUCCACUGCCCACACCGGCAUCUGCUGUUUUGAUGACUGAGGGCGAGAGCGCACAUGGCCGAAGUCCAGUUCCUUCUGGUGAGACUCAAAAGGGUUUCUCUUCCGCUCCGCAAUUGCAGCAUUGUAACAGCACGAUUGCACAAACCCAAACCCAAAGGGGCAGCCUAUCUGCAAGUGAUGGAGAACAUAACUCAUAGCUUAAGUUCAAAACGGUUACUGACGGACAUCCCAUCCGCACCAGUCAACUGAAUCAGUGCCAGUGUUGCAUUGCAUCGGUGCAGAGGAAACCAUCUUCUCACAAGUCGGUGCUCUGUGUAGAAACUGACUUAUGGGCGAGCCUUCCUUCCUUCUCUCUCCUCCUCUUUACUGCUGCCUCCUUGCUUUCUCCUCCAACGGUCACUAAGCAUGGUCAGUGAACGUUUUCACUGAGGAGAAGAAGAAUCACUAAUAUAAAAGUCUCUUCAUUUUCAAAGCUGGGUUGUGCGGCCCGUAGGCGGGACUUAAUCUGGUCGGCCCUACAGAUAAGUCAAUAUACUCUAUACUACCUCAGCACGGCAAAACUACAUCCACUCAUAGGCUUGGGUCUGGCUGCUACCUCGUCAAACUGGCCCCCUCCACCCAGUGAACUGGGGAGCUGCAUACUCUCCAAGGACGGUCGACGGUACACACAUACUAUCUGAGAUAUGUGAUUGCACUCUAUUUGUAUCUAGCAAUGGCACCGUGUUCUGUAUUCUUUAUCUAUACUGUAUCUGUCUGUAAUCUUCCUCAGGGAAAUGAUACUUUAUAUAUAUACACAUAUAUACCCUUUUACUAUUUUCAUCAUGUUUUCAAAAUUACCAUAACACUA